GUUAAAUUAAUGAAAACGAGGAAUGAAAUAAUUAAUUUUUAAUGGUAAGUUUUUUUCUUAACGAGAAAGAUAUAUUUCAUUGAAGAAAAUAUAAGGCUAGCCCAAAAGAAAAACUACACUACUUCAAACCCAAAUUAAUUACAAGCCCAAAUAUGGCCACAACCUAUAUCUUAAAUUCUUGUAGCCAUGGCUUUAGGACUACGUUGCCAGUGUUGGCCAAGAAAACCAACUGUAGGCGAAAUUGCAAAAGAUACAAAGAAGAAAGCACAACCUCUUUAAACACAAGGAAGGCUCAAACUAAAUACAACUUCUCGCCACAGCAGAAGGUCUAUAUGACACAUCGCCUUCGAUCUUAAAAAGGCAGGGUGAAAAGUGCAAUAAUCAAUACUAGUACAGAAGCCUUGACUACAUAAGCUAGGAGAGGCAUGGCAUAGUUACUGGUUUCUCAAUCUCCUAUAGUCCUUGCAGAAUCGAUGGCCAGCACCUUGUCUUAUGAGACAUCAGCCAGCAAAGAGACCUCUGAGAACAUGCGUGGACCAUCCAAAAGCAAAUCAAACCUCUUCCCUUAUCAUUUAGCACCAUUUAGCACAUAUCUGCAAUCUAACAAACCAACACAAACUAGAAAUCACUCGACAAAUGGGGAAGAGAAAAUAUUGCCCUUCGAUAGGAGAGGGAGAGACCAAAAACAGAGAAAAAA
rnacentral:misc_RNA from 1 species